rnacentral:rRNA from 1 species
AGUGAACGCUGGCGGUAGGCCUAACACAUGCAAGUCGAACGGCAGCACAGUAAGAGCUUGCUCUUACGGGUGGCGAGUGGCGGACGGGUGAGGAAUACAUCGGAAUCUACUUUUUCGUGGGGGAUAACGUAGGGAAACUUACGCUAAUACCGCAUACGACCUACGGGUGAAAGCAGGGGAUCUUCGGACCUUGCUCGAUUGAAUGAGCCGAUGUCGGAUUAGCUAGUUGGCGGGGUAAAGGCCCACCAAGGCGACGAUCCGUAGCUGGUCUGAGAGGAUGAUCAGCCACACUGGAACUGAGACACGGUCCAGACUCCUACGGGAGGCAGCAGUGGGGAAUAUUGGACAAUGGGCGCAAGCCUGAUCCAGCCAUACCGCGUGGGUGAAGAAGGCCUUCGGGUUGUAAAGCCCUUUUGUUGGGAAAGAAAAGCAGCAGGUUAAUACCCCGCUGUUCUGACGGUACCCAAAGAAUAAGCACCGGCUAACUGCGU